rnacentral:rRNA from 1 species
ACGAACGCUGGCGGCAUGCCUAACACAUGCAAGUCGAACGAGACCUUCGGGUCUAGUGGCGCACGGGUGCGUAACGCGUGGGAACCUGCCCUUAGGUUCGGAAUAACUCCCCGAAAGGGGUGCUAAUACCGGAUAAUGUCUUCGGACCAAAGAUUUAUCGCCUUUGGAUGGGCCCGCGUUGGAUUAGCUAGUUGGUAGGGUAAAAGCCUACCAAGGCGACGAUCCAUAGCUGGUCUGAGAGGAUGAUCAGCCACACUGGGACUGAGACACGGCCUAGACUCCUACGGGAGGCAGCAGUGGGGAAUAUUGGACAAUGGGCGAAAGCCUGAUCCAGCAAUGCCGCGUGAGUGAUGAAGGCCUUAGGGUUGUAAAGCUCUUUUACCCGGGAUGAUAAUGACAGUACCGGGAGAAUAAGCUCCGGCUAACUCCGUG